UAGAGUUUGAUCCUGGCUCAGAUUGAACGCUGGCGGCAGGCUUAACACAUGCAAGUCGAUACGAUGGAUUUCCCAGCUUGCUGGGAAUGAUUAGUGGCGGACGGGUGAGUAACAUUUAGGAAUCUGCCUAGUAGUGGGGGAUAGCUCGGGGAAACUCGAAUUAAUACCGCAUACGACCUACGGGUGAAAUGGGGCGCAAGCUCUUGCUAUUAGAUGAGCCUAAAUCAGAUUAGCUAGUUGGUGGGGUAAAGGCCCACCAAGGCGACGAUCUGUAACUGGUCUGAGAGGAUGAUCAGUCACACCGGAACUGAGACACGGUCCGGACUCCUACGGGAGGCAGCAGUGGGGAAUAUUGGACAAUGGGGGCAACCCUGAUCCAGCCAUGCCGCGUGUGUGAAGAAGGCCUUUUGGUUGUAAAGCACUUUAAGCAGGGAGGAGAGGCUAAUGGUUAAUACCCAUUAGAUUAGACGUUACCUGCAGAAUAAGCACCGGCUAACUCUGUGCCAGCAGCCGCGGUAAUACAGAGGGUGCGAGCGUUAAUCGGAAUUACUGGGCGUAAAGCGAGUGUAGGUGGCUCAUUAAGUCACAUGUGAAAUCCCCGGGCUUAACCUGGGAACUGCAUGUGAUACUGGUGGUGCUAGAAUAUGUGAGAGGGAAGUAGAAUUCAGGUGUAGCGGUGAAAUGCGUAGAGAUCUGGAGGAAUACCGAUGGCGAAGGCAGCUUCCUGGCAUAAUAUUGACACUGAGAUUCGAAAGCGUGGGUAGCAAACAGGAUUAGAUACCCUGGUAGUCCACGCCGUAAACGAUGUCUACUAGCCGUUGGGGUCCUUGAGACUUUAGUGGCGCAGUUAACGCGAUAAGUAGACCGCCUGGGGA
rnacentral:rRNA from 1 species